GGAUGCGAGGGCGAUCUGGCUGUGACAUCUGUCACCCCAUUGAUCGCCAGGGUUGAUUUGGCUGAUCUGGCUGUCUAGGCGGGUGUCCCCUUCCUCCCUCACCGCUCCAUGUGCAUCCCUCCCGAAGCUGUGUGCUUGGUCGAAGAGGACGGCCUUCCCCGAAUAGAGACGGACCGGUCUUCAUCGAGGGUAUACAAGGGUAUACGAGUAGCUGCGCUCCCCUGCUAGAACCUCCAAACAAGCUCUCCAGUAUGUGCUGUACAGGAGAUGAUCAAAUCAGGAGCUUCAGACAUGAGAAUCCUGUACUCUGCCAACUAAACUAUUUC
rnacentral:snRNA from 1 species